AAUGAACGUUGGCGGCAUGGAUUAGGCAUGCAAGUCGAGCGAGAAGAGUUUUGAAGCUUGCUUUAGAACUCGGACAGCGGCGAAAGGGAGAGUAACGCGUAGUUAUGUACCCUAGGGUCCGGAAUAGCCACGGGAAACUGUGGGUAAUGCCGGAUAACAUCCCCGGAUCAAAGGUGUGAUUCCGCCCUAGGAGCAGACUGCGUCCUACUAGCUAGUUGGUGGGGUAAUGGCCCACCAAGGCAAUGAUGGGUAGCGGGUGUGAGAGCAUGACCCGUCUCACUGGGACUGAGACACUGCCCAGACACCUACGGGUGGCUGCAGGCGAGAAUCUUCGGCAAUGGGCGAAAGCCUGACCGAGCGAUGCCGCGGGCGGGAUGAAGGCCCUCGGGUUGUAAACCGCUGUCGUAGGGGAGGGAGGUUCCGUGAAGAGCGGAAUUUGACCUAUCCUAGGAGGAAGUACGGGCUAAGUUCGUGCCAGCCGCCGCAGUAAAAC
rnacentral:rRNA from 1 species